rfam:Arc I group archaeon T1lsi0528_Bin089 AMQ74_contig000004, whole genome shotgun sequence.
GCCCUGGUAGCUUAGUGGUAUAGUGCCUGCUUGGUAAGCAGGAGGUCGCGGGUUCAAUCCCCGCCCAGGGCU